rnacentral:rRNA from 1 species
AGCAGCCGCGGUAAUUCCAGCUCCAAUAGCGUAUAUUAAAGUUGUUGCAGUUAAAAAGCUCGUAGUUGAAUUUCGGGAUCAAUUAAUUGGUCGUGCCUCUGGUACGUACUGAUUUUAUUGGUUUCUCCCUUCUGACGAACCAUGAUGUCAUUAAUUUGGUGUCGUGGAGAAUCAGGACUGUUACUUUGAAAAAUUAGAGUGUUUAAAGCAAGCUAACGCUUGAAUACAUUAGCAUGGAAUAAUGAAAUAGGACGUUUGAUCCUAUUUUGUUGGUUUCUAGGAUCGACGUAAUGAUUAAUAGGGAUAGUUGGGGGCAUUAGUAUUCAAUUGUCAGAGGUGAAAUUCUUGGAUUUAUUGAAGACUAACUACUGCGAAAGCAUUUGCCAAGGAUGUUUUCAUUAAUCAAGAACGAAAGUUAGGGGAUCGAAGACGAUCAGAUACCGUCGUAGUCUUAACCAUAAACUAUGCCGACUAGGGAUCGGAUGAUGUUAAUUUUUUAAUGACUCA